rnacentral:pre_miRNA from 17 species
GCGCAAGUGAAAUGGAACUGUUGUGUGACUUAGGUAGUUUCAUGUUGUUGGGCUUCUGUUUGAUCGCAGUGACAGGAAACUGCCUGAAUUACUCCAGUUAUGGUCAUCGCAAACUUAU